GACGAACGCUGGCGGCGUGCUUAACACAUGCAAGUCGAACGGAAAGGCCCUGCUUUUGUGGGGUGCUCGAGUGGCGAACGGGUGAGUAACACGUGAGUAACCUGCCCUUGACUUUGGGAUAACUUCAGGAAACUGGGGCUAAUACCGGAUAGGAGCUCCUGCUGCAUGGUGGGGGUUGGAAAGUUUCGGCGGUUGGGGAUGGACUCGCGGCUUAUCAGCUUGUUGGUGGGGUAGUGGCUUACCAAGGCUUUGACGGGUAGCCGGCCUGAGAGGGUGACCGGCCGAAUGGGGAAGGAGAGAGGCCCGAGCCUCCGGGGGGGGGCAGGGGGGGGAAAUGGGGAAAAGGGGGCGGAGGCGGGAGACAACACCCCCGGGGGGGGGAGGACGGCCUUGGGGUUAAAACCCCCUUCCGCGGGUAACGAGGGGGGAGGGAGGGAAAGGAAUAAAAAAGCCCCGGCAAACUCCGGC
rnacentral:rRNA from 1 species